UGGGGAAUUUUGGACAAUGGGGGAAACCCUGAUCCAGCCAUCCCGCGUGUGCGAUGAAGGCCUUCGGGUUGUAAAGCACUUUUGGCAGGAAAGAAACGUCAUGGGUUAAUACCCCGUGAAACUGACGGUACCUGCAGAAUAAGCACCGGCUAACUACGUGCCAGCAGCCGCGGUAAUACGUAGGGUGCAAGCGUUAAUCGGAAUUACUGGGCGUAAAGCGUGCGCAGGCGGCUCGGAAAGAAAGAUGUGAAAUCCCAGAGCUCAACUUUGGAACUGCAUUUUUAACUACCGGGCUAGAGUGUGUCAGAGGGAGGUGGAAUUCCGCGUGUAGCAGUGAAAUGCGUAGAUAUGCGGAGGAACACCGAUGGCGAAGGCAGCCUCCUGGGAUAACACUGACGCUCAUGCACGAAAGCGUGGGGAGCAAACAGG
rnacentral:rRNA from 1 species